AUUGAACGCUGGCGGCAUGCCUUACACAUGCAAGUCGAACGGCAGCACGGGUGCUUGCACCUGGUGGCGAGUGGCGAACGGGUGAGUAAUACAUCGGAACAUGUCCUGUAGUGGGGGAUAGCCCGGCGAAAGCCGGAUUAAUACCGCAUACGAUCUACGGAUGAAAGCGGGGGACAUUCGGGCCUCGCGCUAUAGGGUUGGCCGAUGGCUGAUUAGCUAGUUGGUGGGGUAAAGGCCUACCAAGGCGACGAUCAGUAGCUGGUCUGAGAGGACGACCAGCCACACUGGGACUGAGACACGGCCCAGACUCCUACGGGAGGCAGCAGUGGGGAAUUUUGGACAAUGGGCGAAAGCCUGAUCCAGCAAUGCCGCGUGUGUGAAGAAGGCCUUCGGGUUGUAAAGCACUUUUGUCCGGAAAGAAAUCCUUGGCCCUAAUACGGUCGGGGGAUGACGGUACCGGAAGAAUAAGCACCGGCUAACUACGUG
rnacentral:rRNA from 1 species